rnacentral:hammerhead_ribozyme from 1 species
GCAUUGCUGAAGAGUCCAAUAACAUGACGAAACAGUUGUCUAAUGC